rnacentral:snoRNA from 1 species
UGGUGAUGAUGUCUAAACUCACGAUGGUCUUCAGAGCCUCUGCUAGCCAGGGGGGCUGCUGACAAUGCUCUGAACCGUAGGA